AUUGAACGCUGGCGGCAGGCUUAACACAUGCAAGUCGAGCGGGGGAAGGUAGCUUGCUACUGGACCUAGCGGCGGACGGGUGAGUAAUGCUUAGGAAUCUGCCUAUUAGUGGGGGACAACAUCUCGAAAGGGAUGCUAAUACCGCAUACGUCCUACGGGAGAAAGCAGGGGAUCUUCGGACCUUGCGCUAAUAGAUGAGCCUAAGUCGGAUUAGCUAGUUGGUGGGGUAAAGGCCUACCAAGGCGACGAUCUGUAGCGGGUCUGAGAGGAUGAUCCGCCACACUGGGACUGAGACACGGCCCAGACUCCUACGGGAGGCAGCAGUGGGGAAUAUUGGACAAUGGGGGGAACCCUGAUCCAGCCAUGCCGCGUGUGUGAAGAAGGCCUUAUGGUUGUAAAGCACUUUAAGCGAGGAGGAGGCUACUUUAGUUAAUACCUAGAGAUAGUGGACGUUACUCGCAGAAUAAGCACCGGCUAACUCUGUGCCAGCCGCCGCAGUAAUAC
rnacentral:rRNA from 1 species